rnacentral:rRNA from 1 species
GUAGUUUGAUAUUGAGUGUUUGUACCACAUGUACAGGAUAGGUAGGAGCCGAUGAGACCGGAACGCUAGUUUCGGAGGAGGCGCUGGUGGGAUACUACCCUUGUGUUAUGAACCCUCUAACCCGCACCACUAAUCGUGGUGGGAGACAGUGUCAGAUGGGCAGUUUGACUGGGGCGGUCGCCUCCUAAAAGGUAACGGAGGCGCCCAAAGGUUCCCUCAGAAUGGUUGGAAAUCAUUCGAAGAGUGUAAAGGCAGAAGGGAGCUUGACUGCGAGACCUACAAGUCGAGCAGGGACGAAAGU